GCAGAGCAGAGGCCACUGAGGAGCUGAGGUUCCGGAGAGGCUUCCAGAGCAGGAGCAGUGCAGGGACGGGAGGAUCCGGGAGCUCAUCCAGGAGGGGCACAUGGGCAAGGCCUCCACCAAGGGCCCAUCGGUCUUCCCCCUGGCGCCCUCCUCCAGGAGCACCUCUGGGGGCACAGCGGCCCUGGGCUGCCUGGUCAAGGACUACUUCCCCGAACCGGUGACCGUGUCGUGGAACUCAGGCGCCCUGACCAGCGGUGUGCACACCUUCCCGGCUGUCCUACAGUCCUCAGGGCUCUACUCCCUCAGCAGCGUGGUGACCGUGCCCUCCAGCAGCUUGGGCACCCAGACCUACAUCUGCAACGUAGAUCACAAGCCCAGCAACACCAAGGUGGACAAGAAAGUUGAGCCCAAAUCUUGUGACACACCUCGCCCGUGCCCACCGUGCCCAGCACCGGAACUCCUGGGGGGACCAUCAGUCUUCCUCUUCCCCCCAAAACCCAAGGACACCCUCAUGAUCUCCCGGACCCCUGAGGUCACGUGCGUGGUGGUGGACGUGAGCCACGAAGACCCUGAGGUCAAGUUCAACUGGUACGUGGACGGCGUGGAGGUGCACAAUGCCAAGACAAAGCCGCGGGAGGAGCAGUUCAACAGCACGUACCGUGUGGUCAGCGUCCUCACCGUCGUGCACCAGGACUGGCUGAACGGCAAGGAGUACAAGUGCAAGGUCUCCAACAAAGCCCUCCCAGCCCCCAUCGAGAAAACCAUCUCCAAAGCCAAAGGGCAGCCCCGAGAGCCGCAGGUGUACACCCUGCCCCCAUCCCGGGAGGAGCUGACCAAGAACCAGGUCAGCCUGACCUGCCUGGUCAAAGGCUUCUACCCCAGCGACAUCGCCGUGGAGUGGGAGAGCGGCGGGCAGCCGGAGAACAACUACAAGACCACGCCUCCCGUGCUGGACUCCGACGGCACCUUCUUCCUCUACAGCAAGCUCACCGUGGACAAGAGCAGGUGGCAGCAGGGGAACGUCUUCUCAUGCUCCGUGAUGCAUGAGGCUCUGCACAACCACUACACGCAGAAGAGCCUCUCCCUGUCUCCGGGUAAAUGAGUACGACGGCCGGCAAGCCCCCCCUCCCCGGGCUCUCGGGGUCGCGCGAGGAUGCUUGGCACGCACCCCAUGUACACACUUCCCGGGUGCUCAGCAUGGAAAUAAAGCACCCAGCGCUGCCCUGGGCCCCUGA